rnacentral:lncRNA from 1 species
UUCAGCGAUAUUUCUCUUACCCAUUUUAGGUAAUAAGAGAAAUAUGGCUCUGUCCUGCUUGGCCCACAGGCAGCCAGACUUUAAGGUUAUCUCCCUUGUUCCCUGAAAAUCACUGUUAUCCUGCUCUUAAGGUGCCCAGAUUUCAUAUUGUUCAAACACACAUGCUCUACAAACAAUUUGUGCAGUUAACGCAAUCAUCACAAGGUCCUGAGGCGACAUACAUCCUCAGUUUAUGAAGAUGACAGGAUUAAGAGAUUAAAGCAAAGACAGACAUAGGAAAUCACAAGAGUACUGAUUGCGGAAGUGAUAAAUGUCCAUGAAAUCUUCACAAUUGAUGUUCUUCUGCCGUGGCUUCAGCUGGUCCCUCCGUUCAGGGUCCCUGACUUCUUUCAACACCUAUCCUGUCAUUCUUUAGAGAGCUUGUUCCUGAAGCAUGGUGCUAAGUCCAUUUGCAGCAGAUGGAGCUCAUGAGAAAAGAGUUGCUCUUGUGAAGACCAAAGCUUGAAAUGGUCAAUUACAAAGCACAACAUAAGACUGGAACAUUGGAGUUAAGUAGCAGAGAUCAAAACAAAAGCAUUCCCAGAAGCACGGAGAAGUGAGGAGAAAAGGCAAUGCACCUGGAGCUGGAGACCAAGACCCCGUUCUUACUGAUGGCCCUUGGAGCAGAUAUUUGAAUUGGAGAGAUAAAACCGUGGUUUUUGGGGUGUUAAUUUUGGUGGCUGAUGCAUUCUGUGAUUGAUUUGGCUAUUACAACUGGUAUUGAUUUUAAACACAUUAAUUGCAAAAUCUCAAUUGUGAUUUGAUUUCUGUAUUUACAAUACUAAAAACGAGGCUUUCGCCAGGAGAAGACAAUUGGCAGUACUCAGUUGGAAGUGCUUAAUUGUUAAUAUAUAUCAGCCGUGGUUCUUCAGCGUCGUCAGUGUUGCUCAGUCUUGCUCUUUGUGGCGACUACUGAAUGCUUGAAAAAUUCUCUCCUAUACUCCCACUCUGCGCUGUAGAAGAGAAAGAGAGGAGAGUGGAAGAAAAAAGAGAGGGAGAGGAGAAAGAAAGAAAGGAGAGAGAAACAUGGGCAUGGAUGAUACAUAAGAUAAUUCCAGAAGAUUUCAGCAUAGCAGAUAAAAUACAGCAAAUCCUAACCAGCACAGGUUUGAGUGACAAACGGGCCGGUUCCAUGGGCACAGAUGACUUCAUCAGGUAA